GAGUGUAUAAAUAUAAUGAAUAUUUAUCAACUUAUUUCAAUAUUUGAUUAUUUAAAAAUCAUUUAUUUAUUUAUGAUUUAACGUUUUCAUUAUAAAUUAGGAGUGAAUAAUUAUGUUAUUGUGGCUAGUUAGCUGAUAAAUUGCUCCAAGUAUUUGCUAAUGCUCACCAUUUACAGAACACAUGACUCCUUCCCUUUUCCAUGAGUCCAGAAGUUUGGAGAAGCUUACAACAUAGUGAGGAACAUUGGGCCUACUGAGAAACUGGGCGACGGCCCCCCAUGCACGGCUGACAUGUAAGUGGCCUCGUCUCCAGGCGAUCGAUGGCUGCUGGCACUUCCUUCCCUGGCCAGGAAAAAACAAUUAAAACCCAUCGAUCCUGCGCCGAUCCGAGCCAUGAAUAUGCAGGAGCUUCUCCUUGACCUUCAAAGCUUGGGGAAAGCCAGGUGACUUCAUUCUUCAUGCGACUGGCACUACACUCACUGCUAACUCUUUUUUUUCUUUACUUGUCUAUGGAUAUGUUUUUAUGACCAUAUGUGGACUUCCUGUUUUCACCGCACCGGCAUUAAAUCUCUUCUGAUGUAUCAUGAUGCUCGAUCAGCUUUUAUUGUGUUUCUUUGUCAUGUUGUCACAUUGGCAGAGCAUGUCUCUUGUAUGCCACUGUCUGUUGUGCUUACAGAUGACAUGCUAAUUAUUGUCGGGCAGAGAGCGAACCCUGAAGAUGUGUGGGAAAUAUUAAGAGCCCGUCUUUACUCUUUGUCUGUGCAUGUGGGGCCAGACUCGACAUGAAGCUCUUUGAUUACCAACAGAUCAAUUAUGCAAAAAUAACAGGUGUAACGCAUGUUGUUUAGCUAGUGUUUAUAAUUUGAAUGUGCACUCAGUAGAAAAUGUUUAAAUGAGUUUACACAGAAAAUGUUGUUUGGGUCAAACUUUUCGAUCCUGUGUCAUUUAGGCUACAUUGUGAACUUAAGUAAGUGUUUUGGAGAAUAAGGAUUUAAGGAUUCUCAAUUUAAUUGUAUCAUUUUAUAAUAAUUUUAUAAUCAUUAGUCAUUGAUGUAGUUGUCAUUUGAUUUAUCAUUUAAUCAUUUACUGACAUCAUUAUUUGAUUUACAUAAUUUAUUUAAUCAUUGUAUUAUUAUUAUACAUUUAUGUUAUUUUAUGUUUUUAUAUUGAUAUUACUUAUUUUCAUGCUCUUGCCAUGCUUGCUGUUGCUGUUUAAUCUUAUGAUUGUAUGGUUUCAAAGUAUGUUUGUCUUCAUCAGUAAGAGAUAAGAAAAUGUCUCCAUUUCAAGGUUUGUAACAUCACAGGACGAUGUUGUGAAGCAGUUAUUUUCCAUUGUUUUUGCUUUGGUAUAAUAACACUUGUAAGAUUUGUACUGAGCAUCAAGACAUUCAGACAAAGUCUGAGCUGCACUGAAACAUUCAGACAUUGAAACAUAUGCAACUAAGAUUAUUCAAUAAACUUUGUUCUUUUUACUAUCA